rnacentral:rRNA from 1 species
AUGGUGAAGUACUCGACGGAUCCCGCCAAUCCCACCAAGUCCGCCAAGGCCAUGGGCCGGGACCUGCGUGUUCAUUUCAAGAACACUAGGGAAACAGCGCUUGCCCUGAGGAAGAUGUCGCUCAACAAGGCCAAGAGGUACCUUGAGGAUGUGUUGGCACACAAGCAAGCCAUCCCCUUCCGGAGGUACUGCCGUGGUGUUGGACGCACAGCCCAGGUGAAGAACCGUCAGCCCAAUGGUCAGGGACGCUGGCCUGCCAAGUCUGCUAAGUUCGUUCUGGAUCUUCUAAAGAACGCUGAGAGCAAUGCUGAGGUGAAAGGUCUUGAUGUUGAUGCUCUCUACAUUUCACACAUCCAAGUGAACCAGGCCCAGAAGCAGCGGCGCCGGACCUACCGUGCCCAUGGACGCAUCAACCCCUACAUGUCCAACCCAUGCCACAUUGAGCUGAUCUUGUCGGAGAAGGAAGAGCCGGUGAAGAAGGAGGCUGAGUCCCAGAUCGCCAGGAAGGCCUAG